rnacentral:tRNA from 1 species
GAAAGUGCAGUUCAGUGGCAGAACACAUGCUUAGCAUGCACGAGGCCCUGGGUUUAAUCCCCAGCACCA